UAUUCGUCAUACACUGGACAAGAGACGACAUACCAUUUCUCUGUCCGAUAUCAUGUGCUAAACUUUGAUUCAUGGGAAGAGACAGCUGAGUUGGAACAUGUAAGGUUUUGAUUAGUUGUCUCCUUGUAAAGUGAUGACAACGAGAAGGUGCGACAUUUGUUAGCAUUAGUGGUUUAACAUUGAAGGAUAGUUCAAAUCCACAAGUAGCUUUGCUUCCUUUACAUCCUGAUAUUCAGAUGGAUCGAUACUCUAGUCCGUAACUACCAACCUCCCCUUGAUGCUCACUUGGUAAUUUCUGUCAUGUCUAUAUGUGGACUCGUGUACAACCUGCAUAUGCUGCAAAUAUGUGGAACAAUGCGCCCAAUAAAAAUCUCGUUGCUCAGGACGAGUAACAAAAUGUGUUGCUUCCAUCCUUGCAAUGUACAAAACCACUGGUGCAUUCGGCCCUCUCGCUAAUCACAUUCAAGGCCAUCUUAAGUGUUAGGAAAAAUUAUUCAACCUGUUUGUCUCUGUAUCUCUACUUGUGUUUUGUCUACUUUAUGUUUAUUUAUUUAUCAAGCUUUACCUUUUUAGUUAUAAGGGAAGAAAACCACGUUUGAGAAUAAUUCUAUGUGAUUAUGUGAUGAUAUUUUAUAAUAUAAUGUUGGUUUAAAUAUAAA